GUUCAAGAUGGGGAGGGGUUGGGGUGAGGGCUGGCCUGUCUGAGGAGGGGCAUUUGCAGUGCUGGAGCAAGCCAUGGAGGACAGGAAUUGCUCCAGUCAGAGGAACAGCAAGGACAAGGGGCCCAAGACGGCAUGUACUAGAGGCUCCACGCAUAGAAAAAGCCAGCCAUCCCCAGCGCUGUAACUGAGUGGCCAGUGGUGGGAGGUGAGGUCACAGACGCGGAGGGGGCAUACAUGGGUCUUUGUAAUAGUUAAUUUUAUGCAUCAACUUGACUGGAUCACAGUGUGCCCAGAUAUUUGAUCAAACAUUAUUCUGAGUGUUUCCGUGACAAUGUUUUUGGAUACAAUCAACAUUUAUUUAAUUGGUUGAAGACCUGAAUAGAACAAAGAGUUCAAUUCUCUCAAGUAAGAGAAUUCCUCCUGUCUGACUACUUCAGAAUUGGGACAUUGGCUUUUUCCUGCCUCUACACUACAACUACACCAUCAAGCCUUCAGACAUGGAAAGGAACCACACUAUUGGCUCUCCUCGGUCUUCAGCUUGCCAACUCAAUGCAGAUCUUUGCAUUUGUCAGCCUUAUAACCAUGUGAGCUAAUUCCCUAAAAUAAAUGUCCUCAUUUAAAUGUAUUUCCUAUUGCUGUUUCUCUAGAGAACUCUAAUACAACCCCAUACAAAAGUACACCACACUAGAAGAAUUGGGUUAAAUCGAAUUACAAAAAAAAGAAGAAGAUUAAACUCAUAUGCUCAUAAUUUGGGACUUUCAUGUUUGUAAUUAUCUGCUAAAUUCC
rnacentral:lncRNA from 1 species